CCUACGGGAGGCUGCAGUGGGGAAUAUUGGACAAUGGGGGCAACCCUGAUCCAGCCAUGCCGCGUGUGUGAAGAAGGCCCUCGGGUUGUAAAGCACUUUCAGUGAGGAAGAACGCCUGGUGGUUAAUACCCAUCAGGAAAGACAUCACUCACAGAAGAAGCACCGGCUAACUCCGUGCCAGCAGCCGCGGUAAUACGGAGGGUGCGAGCGUUAAUCGGAAUUACUGGGCGUAAAGCGCGCGUAGGUGGCUUGAUAAGCCGGUUGUGAAAGCCCCGGGCUCAACCUGGGAACGGCAUCCGGAACUGUCAAGCUAGAGUGCAGGAGAGGAAGGUAGAAUUCCCGGUGUAGCGGUGAAAUGCGUAGAGAUCGGGAGGAAUACCAGUGGCGAAGGCGGCCUUCUGGACUGACACUGACACUGAGGUGCGAAAGCUUGGGUAGCAAACAGGAUUAGAUACCCGUGUAGUC
rnacentral:rRNA from 1 species